rnacentral:rRNA from 1 species
GAUGAACGCUGGCGGCGUGCCUAAUACAUGCAAGUCGAGCGAACGGACGAGAAGCUUGCUUCUCUGAUGUUAGCGGCGGACGGGUGAGUAACACGUGGAUAACCUACCUAUAAGACUGGGAUAACUUCGGGAAACCGGAGCUAAUACCGGAUGAUAUUUUGAACCGCAUGGUUCAAAAGUGAAAGACGGUCUUGCUGUCACUUAUAGAUGGAUCCGCGCUGCAUUAGCUAGUUGGUAAGGUAACGGCUUACCAAGGCAACGAUGCGUAGCCGACCUGAGAGGGUGAUCGGCCACACUGGAACUGAGACACGGUCCAGACUCCUACGGGAGGCAGCAGUAGGGAAUCUGCCGCAAUGGGCGAAAGCCUGACGGAGCAACGCCGCGUGAGUGAUGAAGGUCUUCGGAUCGUAAAACUCUGUUAUUAGGGAAGAACAAAUGUGUAAGUAACUGUGCACAUCUUGACGGUACCUAAUCAGAAAGCCACGGCUAACUACGUG